UUGGGGUGUCGGUUAGACAUGUGGGACCCACGGGACCCAAAUAGUGACCUUUUGGACAAUGGGUGUCAUUGGUCAUGAUUCGACGUCGACAGCACGUACAUAACAGUUUUGAAGUUGGUUGGACGAGAUUUGAUCGCUUUGGACGCCCGGUUGGUCCAAAGGGCAAUUUCGUCAUUAGUUGCGAAAUCUUGGAUUUUGGAGUUUUGUGCUAAGUUGAGCUAUGUACUUUGCUUAGGUACUGUUGGAGUUUGAGUUGCUCGUUGAGGUUUGAGAUUGAGGAUUCGUUAAGUUGUUGAAGACGCAGCUUGGACGAGAGGGGAGGGGAAACUUGACCUUGAAAACGGCAAUGCAUAACAAUGAACAAAAAGGGAUCAAGUUUUUCUUCAAUAGUUGUCCUCGUUUGGAGACUCAUCUCAUACAAUCGAAAUAACCCUAAGAGAGGUUGAGAUGAAGGCUUUCAAGGGGACACCAAAUGAGCUCAACAAUUGGAUGCAAUCAGAAGAGUGGCCAAU